rnacentral:rRNA from 1 species
AUUGAACGCUGGCGGCAUGCUUUACACAUGCAAGUCGAACGGUAACAGCACUUCGGUGGCUGACGAGUGGCGAACGGGUUAGUAAUACAUCGGAACGUGCCUAGUAGUGGGGGAUAACUACUCGAAAGAGUAGCUAAUACCGCAUGAGAUCUAAGGAUGAAAGCAGGGGACCUUCGGGCCUUGCGCUACUAGAGCGGCUGAUGGCAGAUUAGGUAGUUGGUGGGAUAAAAGCUUACCAAGCCGACGAUCUGUAGCUGGUCUGAGAGGACGACCAGCCACACUGGGACUGAGACACGGCCCAGACUCCUACGGGAGGCAGCAGUGGGGAAUUUUGGACAAUGGGCGCAAGCCUGAUCCAGCAAUGCCGCGUGCAGGAUGAAGGCCUUCGGGUUGUAAACUGCUUUUGUACGGAACGAAAAGCCCUCUUCUAAUACAGGAGGGUCAUGACGGUACCGUAAGAAUAAGCACCGGCUAACUACGUG